AGAAGAUGGAAACCUUCGGGCGGAAGGCUUCAUUUCGAGUGGCGGACGGGUGAGUAACGCGUGGGUAACCUGCCUCAUACAGGGGGAUAACAGUUGGAAACGACUGUUAAUACCGCAUAAGACCACAGCACCGCAUGGUGGGGGGGUAAAAACUCCGGUGGUAUGAGAUGGACCCGCGUUCGAUUAGCCAGUUGGCGGGGUAACGGCCCACCGAAGCGACGAUCGAUAGCCGAUCUGAGAGGAUGACCGGCCACAUUGGGACUGAGACACGGCCCAAACUCCUACGGGAGGCAGCAGUNGGGAAUAUUGCACAAUGGGGGAAACCCUGAUGCAGCGACGCCGCGUGAGUGAAGAAGUACUUCGGUAUGUAAAGCUCUAUCAGCAGGGAAGAAAAUGACGGUACCUGAGUAAGAAGCCCCGGCUAACUACGUGCCAGCAGCCGCGGUAAUACGUAGGGGGCAAGCGUUAUCCGGAUUUACUGGGUGUAAAGGGAGCGCAGACGGUUGCGCAAGUCUGAAGUGAAAUCCCGAGGCUUAACCACGGGACUGCUUUGGAAACUGUGCGACUUGAGUAUCGGAGGGGCAGGCGGAAUUCCUAGUGUAGCGGUGAAAUGCGUAGAUAUUAGGAAGAACACCGGUGGCGAAGGCGGCCUGCUGGACGAAAACUGACGUUGAGGCUCGAAGGCGUGGGGAGCAAACAGGAUUAGAUACCCUGGUAGUCCACGCGGUAAACGAUGAAUACUAGGUGUUGGUGCCCAAAGGGCAUCGGUGCCGUCGC
rnacentral:rRNA from 1 species